UACGUAGGGUGCAAGCGUUGUCCGGAAUUAUUGGGCGUAAAGAGCUCGUAGGCGGUCUGUCGCGUCGGAUGUGAAAACCCAGGGCUCAACCCUGGGCCUGCAUUCGAUACGGGCAGACUAGAGUUCGGUAGGGGAGACUGGAAUUCCUGGUGUAGCGGUGAAAUGCGCAGAUAUCAGGAGGAACACCGAUUGCGAAGGCAGCUCGCUGGGACGUUACUGACGCUGAGACGCGAAAGCGUGGGGAGCAAACAGG
rnacentral:rRNA from 1 species